rnacentral:rRNA from 1 species
UACAGAGGGGGCAAGCGUUGUUCGGAAUUACUGGGCGUAAAGGGCGCGUAGGCGGCCUGCUAAGUCGAACGUGAAAUCCCUGGGCUCAACCCAGGAACUGCGUCCGAUACUGGUUGGCUUGAAUCCGGGAGAGGGAUGUGGAAUUCCAGGUGUAGCGGUGAAAUGCGCAGAUAUCAGGAAGAACACCCGUGGCGAAGGCGGCUCUCUGGGACGGUACUGACGCUGAGGCACGAAAGCGUGGGGAGCAAACAGG